rnacentral:tRNA from 2 species
GUCAGGAUAGCUCAGUUGGUAGAGCAAAGGACUGAAAAUC